AUGCAAGGUUAAGCAGCAAAUGUGGAGCCGCAGCGAAAGCGAGUCUGAAUAGGGCGUUGAGUAUGUGGACGUAGACCCGAAACCAGGUGAUCUACCCUUGGUCAGGUUGAAGUUCAGGUAACACUGAAUGGAGGACCGAACCGACUUACGUUGAAAAGUGAGCGGAUGAACUGAGGGUAGCGGAGAAAUUCCAAUCGAACUUGGAGAUAGCUGGUUCUCUCCGAAAUAGCUUUAGGGCUAGCCUCAAG
rnacentral:rRNA from 1 species